GAUGAACGCUAGCUACAGGCUUAACACAUGCAAGUCGCGGGGCAGCAUGAAUUUAGCUUGCUAAAUUUGAUGGUGACCGGCGCACGGGUGAGUAACGCGUAUCCAACCUUCCCCUGUCCACGGGAUAGCCCGUCGAAAGGCGGAUUAAUACCGUAUGAGGUCACACGAUGGCAUCAGACUGUGACGAAAGGUUUGGCGGACAGGGAUGGGGAUGCGUCCGAUUAGGUAGUCGGCGGGGUAACGGCCCACCGAGCCGACGAUCGGUAGGGGUUCUGAGAGGAAGGUCCCCCACAUUGGAACUGAGACACGGUCCAAACUCCUACGGGAGGCAGCAGUGAGGAAUAUUGGGUCAAUGGGGCGAGAGCCUGAACCAGCCAAGUAGCGUGCAGGAUGACGGCCCUAUGGGUUGUAAACUGCUUUAUAAGGGAUAAAGUGAGUCUCGUGAGACUUUUUGCAUGUACCUUAUGAAUAGGACCGGCUAAUUCCGUG
rnacentral:rRNA from 1 species